UACAGAGGUCUCAAGCGUUGUUCGGAUUCAUUGGGCGUAAAGGGUGCGUAGGCGGCGCGGUAAGUCGGGUGUGAAAUCUCGGGGCUUAACUCCGAAACUGCAUUCGAUACUGCCGUGCUUGAGGACUGGAGAGGAGACUGGAAUUUACGGUGUAGCGGUGAAAUGCGUAGAUAUCGUAAGGAAGACCAGUGGCGAAGGCGGGUCUCUGGACAGUUCCUGACGCUGAGGAGCGAAAGCGUGGGGAGCGAUCCGG
rnacentral:rRNA from 1 species